UAAGACAGAGGGUGCAAACGUUGUUCGGAUUUACUGGGCGUAAAGCGCGUGUAGGCGGCCUUGCAAGUUGGAUGUGAAAGCCCACGGCUCAACCGUGGAAGCGCAUCCAAAACUGCAUCGCUCGAGUCUCGGAGAGGAAGGUGGAAUGCUUGGUGUAGAGGUGAAAUUCGUAGAUAUCAAGCAGAACACCUGCGGCGAAGGCGGCCUUCUGGACGAUGACUGACGCUGAGACGCGAAAGCGUGGGGAGCAAACAGGAUUAGAUACCCUGGUAGUCCACGCCGUAAACGAUGAGUGCUAGGUGUCACGGGCUUUGACCCUCGUGGUGCCGUAGCUAACGCAAUAAGCACUCCGCCUGGGGAGUACGGCCGCAAGGCUA
rnacentral:rRNA from 1 species